UUGAGUAUAUUCCGGAAUUCCCUUCCUGGAAACAUCACCAGGACAAGGUCAAUCAGUGAGCGCCCUUUGGCACGGACAAGACUAAUCCGAGAGCGGCUAGAGUGGCCUUGGUAGCGCUGGCAACUGGCCGACCGAGAGGCAGGUGGGGGCAAGCCGGAACACGUGCGAACAGUGUGUUCUGGUCGUGGAGUCUCUGAUCGAGUUGUGGAAUGUUUCUAUCUGGCUAACGUCGGACUUAUUCGUACAGGAGCGGAACACCGUGUUCCACCCAACACGGUCGCGUCGGAACUCACACUGGCGUCAUCACGAAUGCUAAGGCCGCUUUCUUGGCAACCAGGAUGUUUGAAAAAUGCAUGAAAGAUAUCAUGUUUCGCUACUCUGUGGAUGCCUCCUCCAUACAAAAGGGACUUCACCUCGGGUGCGUCACACUCCGCCUUUGUUACCACAAGUAUCCAAUCCAAGGAAAUG